rnacentral:rRNA from 1 species
UACGUAGGCAGCGAGCGUUGUUCGGAGUUACUGGGCGUAAAGAGUGCGUAGGCGGUGUUCCAAGUCUGUUGUGAAAUCUCCCGGCUUAACUGGGAGGGUGCGGCGGAAACUGGGACGCUGGGGUAUGGGAGAGGUAAGCGGAAUUCCUGGUGUAGCGGUGAAAUGCGUAGAUAUCAGGAGGAACACCUGCGGUGUAGACGGCUUACUGGACCAUAACUGACGCUGAGACGCGAAAGCGUGGGGAGCGAACAGG